GGGAGGCAGCAGUGGGGAAUUUUGGACAAUGGGCGAAAGCCUGAUCCAGCCAUGCCGCGUGCGGGAAGAAGGCCUUCGGGUUGUAAACCGCUUUCAGGUGGAAAGAAAUCGUUCUGGCCAAUACCCAGGAUGGAUGACGGUACCAUCAGAAGAAGCACCGGCUAAAUACGUGCCAGCAGCCGCGGUAAUACGUAGGGUGCGAGCGUUUAUGGGAAUUACUGGGCGUAAAGCGUGCGCAGGCGGCUUUUUAAGCCAGACGUGAAAUCCCCGGGCUUCACCUGGGAAGUGCGUUUGGAACUGGAAAGCUAGAGUGUGUCAGAGGGGGGUGGAAUUCCGCGUGUAGCAGUGAAAUGUGUAGAUAUGGGGAGGAACACCGAUGGAGAAGGCAGCCCCCUGGGAUAACACUGACGCUCAUGCAAGAAAGCGUGGGGAGCAAACAGGAUUAGAUACCCUGGUAGUCCACGCCCUAAACGAUGUCAACUGGCUGUUGGGAGAGAAAUCUUUCAGUAGCGA
rnacentral:rRNA from 1 species